rnacentral:rRNA from 1 species
CAGGCGUGCAACUCGCCUGCACGAAGUCGGAAUUGCUAGUAAUCGUAGGUCAGCAUACUACGGUGAAUACGUUCCCGGGCCUUGUACACACCGCCCGUCACACCAUGAGAGUUGGCAAUACCCCAACGUACGUGAUCUAACCCGCAAGGGAGGAAGCGUCCUAAGGUAGGGUCAGCGAUUGGGGUGAAGUCGUAACAAGGUAUC